UCCGGUUUAACACCGGCAGUCUCCCCAGAGUGCCCAACUUAAUGCUGGCAACUAAGGAUAAGGGUUGCGCUCGUUGCGGGACUUAACCCAACAUCUUACGACACGAGCUGACGACAGCCAUGCAGCAUCUGUCCUAGAGUCACCGAAGUGAAAGCCCCAUCUCUGAGGUUGUCUCUAAAUGUCAAGGCCAGGUAAGGUUCUGCGCGUUGCUUCGAAUUAAACCACAUACUCCACCGCUUGUGCGGGCCCCCGUCAAUUCCUUUGAGUUUUAGCCUUGCGACCGUACUCCCCAGGCGGAUUACUUAAUGCGUGAGCUACGGUACCCAAAAAGUUAGUAUUUCGAGCACCUAGUAAUCAUCGUUUACGGCGUGGACUAC
rnacentral:misc_RNA from 1 species